AACGAACGCUGGCGGCGCGCCUAAUACAUGCAAGUCGAGCGAGAAGACGUAGCAAUACGUUUGUAAAGCGGCGAACGGGUGAGGAAUACAUGGGUAACCUACCCUCGAGUGGGGAAUAACUAGCCGAAAGGUUAGCUAAUACCGCGUACGCUCCUUGGACUUCGGUUCAGGGAGGAAAGCGAUACCGUGGGUAUCGCGCUCUUGGAUGGGCUCAUGUCCUAUCAGCUUGUUGGUGAGGAACGGCUCACCAAGGCUUCGACGGGUAGCUGGUCUGAGAGGACAAUCAGCCACACUGGCACUGCGACACGGGCCAGACUCCUACGGGAGGCAGCAGUAAGGAAUAUUGCGCAAUGGGCGAAAGCCUGACGCAGCGACGCCGCGUGGGGGAUGAAGGUCUUCGGAUUGUAAACCCCUUU
rnacentral:rRNA from 1 species